rfam:Penicillium italicum strain PHI-1 contig1421, whole genome shotgun sequence.
CACACGGCCGCAUUAGCGGCCAACCAUUCUUUUCAUUAUAGUAUUU